rnacentral:rRNA from 1 species
UUGACCUCGGAUCAGGUAGGGAUACCCGCUGAACUUAAGCAUAUCAAUAAGCGGAGGAAAAGAAACCAACCGGGAUUGCCUCAGUAACGGCGAGUGAAGCGGCAAGAGCUCAAAUUUGAAAUCUGGCCCCUCCGGGGUCCGAGUUGUAAUUUGCAGAGGAUGCUUCGGGUGCGGCCCCUGUCUAAGUGCCCUGGAACGGGCCGUCAGAGAGGGUGAGAAUCCCGUCUUGGGCAGAGUGCCCGUGCCCGUGUGAAGCUCCUUCGACGAGUCGAGUUGUUUGGGAAUGCAGCUCAAAAUGGGUGGUAAAUUUCAUCUAAAGCUAAAUACCGGCCGGAGACCGAUAGCGCACAAGUAGAGUGAUCGAAAGAUGAAAAGCACUUUGAAAAGAGAGUUAAACAGCACGUGAAAUUGUUGAAAGGGAAGCGCUUGCAACCAGACUCGGCCUCGGGGUUCAGCCAGCAUUCGUGCUGGUGUACUUCCCCGGGGCCGGGCCAGCGUCGGUUUGGGCGGCCGGUCAAAGGCCCCAGGAAUGUAUCGUCCUCCGGGACGUCUUAUAGCCUGGGGUGCAAUGCGGCCAGCCUGGACCGAGGAACGCGCUUCGGCACGGACGCUGGCGUAAUGGUCGCAAACGACCCGUCUUGAAACACGGACCA